UACAGGUGGGCUGGGAGGGGCAGAGUAAGCUGGCUACGCUGGCUACUAAGGGGAGGCAUGGAGUGAGGUGGCCAGAGUCAGUCUGCUACAGCAGCACAACAUCAUCCAUCAUUGUGGGACAGGCGAGGGACAACAUCCUGGUGUUCAAAGUGGAAUAGUGUGUACAUUCGCUGCUGAGUCAGAACAAGGAUGCUGAGGAUGUGGUGGACAAGGAUGACAUGACUACGCAGAAGCAACUGCUAAGCACAGAAGACAACAGAGUAGUGAAAGGCUCAGCCAAAUCAAAGUCCAGCGAUGUGAGGGUGACACAGCCUUUCCAUGUCCUUGUAUUGCAACAUGAAGGACAUUUUAGCUGAAACUAACAAGGGAGAGAACUGUAGAUCUGCACCAGCACAGAGCACCAGCAUUGAUAUCGAGUUGGCCCAGCAACCGCACGAGUCCCGCCUGCAGGAGCCCCAGUCCAGAACGACCCUUCCCCUCCCCUGACUUCUAACUCCUCCCCCUUGACCUCCUGACUCAAAAAGUCAGCAUCGUUGAACAACUCCGUUCUGCAGAACAUUCUGAGCAUGAUUCUGGUCUGAACAAACACAAUGCCCACGUCAAGUUGUCCACACAUAAGCCUGGGUAGUUCUGUUAAGCUAGAGUUCCGCGUGGGCCUGAGAGGGACGAGUUUUACAAACACGAAAAGUUAUAGCUGUAGUUAUGGUAACGCUAACAGUCAGUUGUUGCUGUUGGACAUCACAACAAAUAUCCUGAAGAAUAAAAAGUUCAAUAACUUGUUCCAAUCUUUAUGGGACAAACAGAAAUUGGACGGGAGAAAAUCAAGGAACAAUAAAAGCGUAAGCUUUCCUUGUGGGAUGCUUCUGCUGUUGAUAGUUUGGACGACAAUAGGGUUACGGACUGCCCCAGAUUGUCCUCUCAGCGGCCAAAAUAUCAUAAUAGAACGGACUUUUGACAAUGUUACCGACAAAGAAAGGCAGUAAUGACUUGGUUGUGAACACCCAGAGCACGAUACAUCCAUGCUGACACAAAAAGGCAGUUAUGACUUGGUGGUGAAAACCCAGAGCACGCUACAUCCUUGCUGACCAAGAAAUGCAGUAAUGACUUGGUUGUGAAUACCCAGAGCAUGCUACAUCCAUGCUGACACAGAAAGGCAGUAAUGACUAUGCUGUGAACACCCAGAGCAAGAUAUAUCCAUGCUGACACAGAAAGGAAGUAAUGAGUAUGCUGUGAACACCCAGAGCAAGAUAUAUCCAUGCUGACACAGAAAGGCAGUAAUGACUAUGCUGUGAACACCCAGAGCAAGAUAUAUCAAUGCUGACACAGAAAGGAAGUAAUGACUAUGCUGUGAACACCCAGAGCAAGAUAUAUCCAUGCUGACACAAAAAGGCAGUAAUGACUAUGCUGUGAACACCCAGAGCAAGCUACAUCCAUGCUGACACAGAAAGGAAGUAAUGACUAUGAUGUAAACACCCAGAGCACAAUACAUCCAUGCUGACACAGAAAGGCAGUAAUGACUAUGCUGUGAACACCCAGAGCACGCUACAUCCAUGCUGACACAGAAAGGAAGUAAUGACUAUGCUGUGAACACCCAGAGCAAGAUAUAUCCAUGCUGACACAGAAAGGCAGUAAUGAUUAUGCUGUGAACUCCCAGAGCAAGAUAAAUCCAUGCUGACACAGAAAGGCAGUAAUGACUACGCUGUGAACACCCAGAGCACAAUACAUCCAUGCUGACACAGAAAGGCAGUAAUGACUUGGUUGUAAACACCCAGAGCACAAUACAUCAAUGUUGACUCAGAAAGGCAGUAAUGACUUGGUUGUGAACACAGAACACGAUACACCCAUGCUUACACAGAAAGGCAGUAAUUACUUGGCUGUGAACACAGAGCACAAUACAUCCAUGCGGAAACAGAAAGGCAGUCAUGACUAUGCUGUGAACACCCAGAGCACGAUAAAUCCAUGCUGACACAGAAAGACAGUAAAGAUUUGGUUGUAAACACCCAGAGCACAAUACAUCCAUGAUGACACAGAAAGGCAGUAAAGACCUUGUUGUAAACACUAAGAGAUCCAUACAUCCAUGGGGUGUGCCACAGCCCGAAUUACGCCCACUAUUGUGAACAAGGUGCUUAAAGUGAACAUGUCUGGUUUUGGUAUGAGGACUUAGCACUCCAAGCCUAAAAGGCCUCGCAUUGAAUUGAUGCAAGAGAAUGCUUUGAAAAAUAACAGCAGUUUUGUUGUGUGGUCCAGUACGCCCUUCGACUCUCAACCUGAAGAAAGCAGAACUCAAACUCGGCUCUUAUCAAUAUCAGCAAGGCCAGCAUGCCAUAUCAGCUUCUUGAGCUUCAGAAAUUCAGCACGAAGACAUCUUGCGUCAGACUACCAAGCCUCCUAUCAAUAUCUCCUCCCAUGUUGGCUUCAUCAACACUUCCAACAGAGCCUUGGUGAGUUCGACUUCCGUCUCAGCAUCGAUGUCGCUUAGCAACAAUUGGAUGAUGGGCGUCGACAAAUUAGGCCGGACAAGUCGCUCAAACUGAAACGAUCUGAUCCAACAGAGCCUGUUCCUACAGGAACCUAUGCAAUCAUAGAUCGGUACCUAGCUGAACAACAGGCUGUAUGGUCAGCUGGUCCCAGACGCCCAGUGACACUUCCUGGCCCAGGACCUUGGGGCAAAUGCUCAACUAUACCUACCCGCAGGGUGGAGCCACUCUGAACCUGGGGCUCCAUACUUUCUUGGCCAGGGGCCAAGUUUACCUUGUCAAUAAGGUACAUGUAGGGACACAUUCCUUGGAUGCCCUAAGGUUUCUCUAUCUGUUCACAAAGGCUUUAUACUCACAAGUUCAAGCCCAGUGAGCGAUGUACACAUUAUCAAACUCUGCAUAUCAACAGAAUCCCAGAUAUCAAAGCGUUGAGCUUGUUCUUGAAGCAUUUGCACCAGCAACAGUCAUCAUCUCGAGUUACUGGCAUCUCUAUGGUGUGGUACCCUCCGUCUAUGAACAUCAUAACAGCACAUGAACCAGUGGCACUCAUCAUCUCAAGAUUCUGGUAUAUCCAUGGUGCAGGACCCUGGGUCUGUAAAGAUCCUGCAGUGCGAACCUCAGAUGCCAUUUGACGAAAUCAACCAUCCAAUCAGAAACACAGCCUGUUGCAGCAGUUGUUACCAUUGACCCCUGUCAAACCUAAGAAGUCCAUAGAUAAAUACUUUUUUAGAUGUGCUAGUCUCUACGUACCUCCUGGUUUGUUCAGCUCUGUUACUCUGACUCUUUGAAUUGUAUGACGGGUGAAAAUGAAUGACCUUGUUCAGUUCGAAAUGGCAAAAUGACACAUCACAACAAUUCAAGUGGAAAGCCAGAAAGUCAUGUCAACAGCCACAUUUUGUAUGUGUAACAGCCAAGUUAUUUUCAAAGAAAAACAAUAGUUUACGUUUUAUUUUUUAUGUGACCAAUGCUUCAUGUGAAUUAUGAUGCUGUCAGUCUCUUUAUGUUGUAAGUUUUGGUUAAAUAUAGCAUGGUAAGUUUUUUUUAAAGCACACAUAAUUGCAUUUAUAUCCAAUGUCUUUGUCUGUAUAAUGAAUUUUUCACUACAUAUUUUUAUCCUUAUAAUGGUAUAUGUAUGGGAAAAACAAUUUUAUCAAAGAUAUUCUAAGAUUGUCAAGUCUGUUUAAAUGAUGCUGGUACCUUUGACAAAAUUGAAAAAAGGAGUAUUUUCAUGUUAUAAGACAUGUUUGAGUUUUCUGUUUUUACCCGUAAUAUAGAUAAGCUAAUUUAAUGAAUUGUUCACAAAGGUUUAUAACUUUAACGCUUCAGCUUUUUCUGUCUAUUAAUCCUUCCGAAAACAAUACUGGUCAAUUUGCUCAUUUGGGUCGGUAUUCGAUCAUGAAUCUUGUUUAGUAGCAUACUAUUUCAUUGGAAUAAUAAUACAUUCUGGGAAAAAUUAUUCAAUCUACCUAAAAUUAUCAAUUCUGUAAAUACCAAUUUGUUGAUUUCAAUGGAUAUUGUUUGUAAAAUUAAUAUAGUAUGACUAUUGCGUGUUUGGGAAAGCUUUUAAUGAAACUGAGAAUUUAAAAAACAAAAAACAAAUAAUAGUUUUAUGAAAAUUGGCAAAACUUAUUAUUGUUAAUUUGUGUUGUUAGAUCAUAGACGUGUAUGCUCACAAUUGUUAAACUUUGUUUUUGGACACAAUAAUUUAUUAUGCUUUAUGUUUGUUUAUGCGCAUGAAGACGACCAGAGUGUAACCUCUUUAAUAAGUGAGUAACUUAAUCAAGAUUUAUUGAUCACUGUAUAUAUUGUGUAGGUAUAUUUUGCCAUUUAUACAUAAAGCAACUGUAGAACAAUUGUAUUUUAAAUGUAAAUUAUUCUUGUAUUGUUGCCAUUUGUAUAAGAUAAACUAACUGUUUACCUUAGUUUGUAAAAACCUUUGUAAAAAAACAUUUCCUGUGUGAAUGCUCAUAUAUAUAUAUAUAUAUAUAUUAAACUGUUAAAAUAAUACACAGUACCAGAAAAAAUAGUCAAUUACACAGUAAGGGAAAGUGUUGUCAUAUGCUACCUGUAACAAUUGUAAAAAAUUGCAAUUGUCUCUAUUUGUAAUAAUUUAUUUGCUUAAAAAAUAAAAACAAAGAUGUCUGCUUUGUAAAUUUAUAAUUGUGUUUACAUCUCAGCAUAACACGUAAAUACAUUAAAGUCUAAAAGGAUUUUUUUUGGAAUAAACACUUAAAUAAAUAUAUGUGCGUAUAUAUGCUGAUAAUAAAAUUUUACAUUUCAAUUAGUUUUGUAACAGUGCGUUUGACCUUUCACGUUGACCAACCCACACUUGCUGUCAUCGCAGUGCCUUCAUUAGGGUCAUUUUUAUGCCCCCGGUAGGAUGGCAUAUAGCAGUUGAACUGUCUGUCAGUAUGUCAGUCUGUCCAUUUGUCCAGAAAAAAAACUUAAACAUUGGCCAUAACUUUUUCAAUAUUGAAGAUAGCAACUUGAUAUUUUGCAUGCAUGUGCAUCUCAUAUACCUGCACUUUUUGAGUGGUGAAAGGUGAAGGUCAAGGUCAUCAUGUAAGGUCAAAUGUCAAAUAUAUGGCGUCUGUCCAUCCGUCCGAAAACUUUAUCAUUGGCCAUUACUUUUUUAAUAUUGAAGAUAGCAACUUGUUAUUUGGCAUCCAUGUGUAUCUCAUGGAGCUGAACAUUUUGAGUGGUAAAAAGUGAAGGUCAAGGUCAUCCUUAAAUGUCAAAGGUCAAAAAAAAAUCAAAGCGGCGUUCCCAUAAAGCUGCACAUUGUAAGUGGUGGAAGAUCAAAGUCAUCGGUCAAGGUCAUCCUUCAAGGUAAUAGGUAAACAAAAUAUUCAAAGUGGCAUUCUCAUGAAGCUGCAAAUUGUGAGUGGUGGAAGUUCAAGGUCAAGGUCAUUCUUCAAGGUCAAGGUCAUCCUUCAAGGUCAAAGGUCAAAAAAAUAAUUAAUUCAAAGCGGCGUUCCCAUGAAGCUGCACAUUUUGAGUGGUGGAAGUUCAAGGUCAAGGUCAUCCUUCAAUGUCAAAGGUCAAAAAAGGAAUUUAUUUUUUCAAAGUGGCACAAUAGGGGGCAUAAUGUGUUUCUGACGAACACAUCUCUUGUUUGUAAAUAUCCCACUGUUUAAGUUCAGCAAAUGUUUUAAGACCAGAUUUCCUUAAACUUGGGGUUGUUAUUAUUUUACUUUUAUUGAAUGCAUGAAACAUGUGUGUUUUGUUGUUGAAUAGCUAAACAUAGCUUGACGUUUGUAAAUUGUGUGACAAAUGUGUAUCAAAUAGAUACAUAGAAAAAAAACAAUCUUAGUUAACUUGUAUGUGUAAAUUAACAAACACAAAUAUAAGUAUUUGGUAACAAUAUAACUAUUAGGCUUUAUUCGAAAUACAGUAUGAAAUGCAAUUUUAAAAUCAUGUCUUUAUAUGUUCAUCUUCUCCAAAUAAGCAUUUUGAAUAAGCAAAUAUAAUAUCUCUAUGGAAAGUAUCCGUAGGCCCCAUUCAAUCGCUUGUGUGCCUCAAAUUGAUCAGGGUCUUUCUAAAUUAUUUCAUGAUUGUUUAUCCCUGUCUGAAUUGUGUAAAUAGCUUCAAAAUCGUGAGAUAUCUGUUAAUAGGAUUUCAAUAUUAAAAGUUAAAAUAGUAUCUUAACUGUAACCGUACAUCUGUUCCAUUUAUUUUAACAUGUUUAUAUGUUGUGGCUCACUGAGUUUUAUAUUGUUUAUAAUCUUGCGUACUUUAAUUGUGUUUUUUAAGAUAAGCAUCUUUAUACUGAUUAUGUUGUUUUUGUCAAACAUUUCUUUAUAUACAAGUUGUAUGUAAAUAAUUCAAUAUGUUUAUGUUGAUGACAUGUAUUUCCCAAUAUAAGUUUGAUGUUGAACUCUCAAUAAGCGACAUGUUAUGCCAAUU